UGGGGAAUCUUGGACAAUGGGCGAAAGCCUGAUCCAGCCAUGCCGCGUGUGUGAAGAAGGUCUUCGGAUUGUAAAGCACUUUAAGUUGGGAGGAAGGGUUGUAGAUUAAUACUCUGCAAUUUUGACGUUACCGACAGAAUAAGCACCGGCUAACUCUGUGCCAGCAGCCGCGGUAAUACAGAGGGUGCAAGCGUUAAUCGGAAUUACUGGGCGUAAAGCGCGCGUAGGUGGUUUGUUAAGUUGGAUGUGAAAUCCCCGGGCUCAACCUGGGAACUGCAUCCAAAACUGACAAGCUAGAGUAUGGUAGAGGGUGGUGGAAUUUCCUGUGUAGCGGUGAAAUGCGUAGAUAUAGGAAGGAACACCAGUGGCGAAGGCGACCACCUGGACUGAUACUGACACUGAGGUGCGAAAGCGUGGGGAGCAAACAGGAUUAGAUACCCCCGUAGUCCCUGAGCGGGCUGGCAAGGCGCAU
rnacentral:rRNA from 1 species